AGUGAACGCUGGCGGUAGGCCUAACACAUGCAAGUCGAACGGCAGCACAGUAAGAGCUUGCUCUUACGGGUGGCGAGUGGCGGACGGGUGAGGAAUACAUCGGAAUCUACUUUUUCGUGGGGGAUAACGUAGGGAAACUUACGCUAAUACCGCCUACGACCUACGGGUGAAAGCAGGGGAUCUUCGGACCUUGCGCGAUUGAAUGAGCCGAUGUCGGAUUAGUUAGUUGGCGGGGUAAGGGCCCACCAAGUCGACGAUCCGUAGCUGAUCUGAGAGGAUGAUCAGCCACACUGGAACUGGGCCACGGUCCAGACGCCUACGGGAGGCAGCAGUGGGGAAUAUUGGACAAUGGGCGCAAGCCUGAUCCAGCCAUACCGCGUGGGUGAAGAAGGCCUUCGGGUUGUAAAGCCCUCUUGUUGGGAAAGAAAAGCAGCAGGUUAAUACCACGCUGUUCUGACGGUACCCAAAGAAUAAGCACCGGCUAACUUCGUG
rnacentral:rRNA from 1 species